rnacentral:rRNA from 1 species
GACGGAGGGUGCGAGCGUUAUCCGGAGUUAUUGGGCGUAAAGGGCACGUAGGCGGCUUGUCCAGUCUGAUGUUAAAGACCGAGGCUCAACUUCGGGGGUGCGUUGGAUACUGAGAGGCUGGAGUGGGGCAGGGGUCAGGGGAAUUCCCGGUGUAGCGGUGAAAUGCGCAGAUACCGGGAAGAACACCAAAGGCGAAGGCACGUACCUGGGCCAUAACUGACGCUGAGGUGCGAAAGCGUGGGGAGCAAACCGG